CGAACGGGGAGAUUCAUCGUCAGCGGACGCCGGCUUCGCGUCGGUCGGCGAUGUCCCGCGGGGGCCCUCGCGGCUCUCAGCGCGGGCACGCUGCCGUGCGCCGAUGUAUCCGGCUUCGCCGUCGUGCACUUCUCCCCUGGUAGAACGUCGCGACCCGCUGGGUGUCGGUCUACGGCCCGGGUGCGGUGUCUGACGCGCCGCCGGUAAAACGGCGCGCGUCAAACCCCCGGUCGCCCGGCCGGCUGCCCGGCGGUACGCGCAAGGUAUCAGGCCGCACACACAUUUGAACGGUGCGUCGAGGCCGUCGCAAGCGCGCGCCACGGUACACGGAGGUACGGACCUAGCGCCGUCACCGGUCCUGGCCCGCUGUUGGUCGUACGGUUAACCUUCGACAGGCCUACGAACGUCCCAGCGUGUCGGGGGCUCGUCUCCCGCUCGCGUUGGC
rnacentral:rRNA from 1 species